rnacentral:rRNA from 1 species
UACGUAGGGGGCUAGCGUUGUCCGGAUUUAUUGGGCGUAAAGAGCUCGUAGGUGGCCAACUAAGUCAGACGUGAAAUCCCUCGGCUUAACCGGGGAACUGCGUCUGAUACUGGAUGGCUUGAGUUCGGGAGAGGGAUGCGGAAUUCCAGGUGUAGCGGUGAAAUGCGUAGAUAUCUGGAGGAACACCGGUGGCGAAGGCGGCAUCCUGGACCGAUACUGACACUGAGGAGCGAAAGCCAGGGGAGCAAACGGG